GUCCACGCUGUAAACGGUGGGUACUAGGUGUGGGUUCCUUUUCACGGGAUCCGUGCCGUAGCUAACGCAUUAAGUACCCCGCCUGGGGAGUACGGCCGCAAGGCUAAAACUCAAAAGGAAUUGACGGGGGCCCGCACAAGCGGCGGAGCAUGUGGAUUAAUUCGAUGCAACGCGAAGAACCUUACCUGGGUUUGACAUAUACCGGAAAGCUGUAGAGAUAUGGCCCCCCUUGUGGUCGGUAUACAGGUGGUGCAUGGCUGUCGU
rnacentral:rRNA from 1 species